rnacentral:rRNA from 1 species
CCAGACUCCUACGGGAGGCAGCAGUGGGGGAUAUUGCACAAUGGGGGAAACCCUGAUGCAGCGACGCCGCGUGAGUGAAGAAGUAUUUCGGUAUGUAAAGCUCUAUCAGCAGGGAAGAAGAUGACAGUACCUGAGUAAGAAGCCCCGGCUAACUACGUGCCAGCAGCCGCGGUAAUACGUAGGGGGCAAGCGUUAUCCGGAUUUACUGGGUGUAAAGGGAGCGUAGACGGUUAUGUAAGUCUGGAGUGAAAGCCCGGGGCCCAACCCCGGGACUGCAUUUGGAACUGUGCUGCUAGAGUGUCGGAGAGGCAGGCGGAAUUCCUAGUGUAGCGGUGAAAUGCGUAGAUAUUAGGAGGAACACCAGUGGCGAAGGCGGCCUGCUGGACGAUGACUGACGUUGAGGCUCGAAAGCGUGGGGAGCAAACAGGAUUAGAUACCCCUGUAA